rnacentral:pre_miRNA from 1 species
UGGGGGAGGCCGGAUUCUGGGCUGUGUCCCCGGCGCCCUGGGCUCUGGGACAUGCGCUGUUGGAUUUGUGCUCCCACCCCGCACAACCGCCU